AAAAAAAAAAAAAAGAUCUGAUCCCCAUUAGGGAAUCUUCAAAAGCAUGGUCCUGAAAUCUCAAACUGCUAGCCUCAGAUUGCUGCAACUUGGCAUCACCAGGCUGCAGCCUAUUGCCCUGUGAUCCACACUUUAGCCUGAACCAAACUUUAAUCAACCAGAACUGCUCUUAUUUGUAUGACUCUGACUUGCACAGGCCCUAUUCACAUGGCCAGGAAUGCAUAAUUGAGAACUGUGUGCACUACAGUUUAUGCUGACCUCCCAGACUAGGUAAUCUGAACUGCAUUUCUUUGCAGGGGAUGAACUACAUGACAGGAAAGUACACAAGGAAAGUCCCCCUUACUAUGAAAGUAGUUUGCUCAAAUGGAGACACCCCCACACCUGUCUCCCGCCCACUGCCCUGUGCUCUAGGGGAUACUGUAGUUACUUCCCAGCCUGCCUCCCUUCUGUAGUCUACUCUAUAAACUAUUAUUCCUGUUCUGGGCUAAAGAGUGAAUUUGUUAACUCUACACUCAUGCCUGCCCUACUACUGUAGUGGCUGAACACUAAGCCUGCUACAAAAAUCUUAUAAAAUUACUAUCUAGCAAGAGGCCUCUGAUAAUGAGCAAGGGAUACCAUAUUCACUCCCCAUAAGAGUCAAUCCGAAUGGUCUUGUGAAUCACCCACACAGAAAAACACCCAUCAGGGGGCUUUGGAAUAAAGCUGCUUAAAACAGAAAUUGACAUAAUACUAUCUUUGGUCCUGUUAACUUACCCCUGUUGAGAGUGCCAGACUUUACUCUGUAGUAAGGACUGUCUACCUCCUGUACUAUCUUCUUAAAAUGUCUCAUCAGAAUUCUCUCCAUAGAGAUAACAAGGACCAGGGAGAAGAGGCAGAGCCAGGGUGAAGUUUUUUAUGUAUUUUUUUUUCUCUUAGAACACAAAAGGGGAGAAAAAUUGGGUAAAAUUUGGACUUGUCUUUUUGUGGCAAGGAUGUGGGGAAAGGAGAAAACAUUUUCUUUGGUGGUGGGAGUGCAAAUUUGUAUGGUCACUAUGACAAUCAGUGUGGUGGUUCCUCAGGAAUCUGGGGAUAGAUCUACCUGAAGAUCUAAAUAUACCACUCUUGGGCAUGUACCCAAAGGAUUCUACCUCCUCCUACAGAGACACUUUUUCAUCCACAUUCAUUACUGUUCUAGUCUAGAUGUCCAUUGACUGAUUGAGAAGAUAUUGAAAAUGUGGUACAUUUACACAAAGGAAUUUUGUGUUUUUUUUUUAAGCUGAAUGAAAUUCCAUUGUGUAAUUAGACUAGAACAUCCUUGCCAGCAUGAGCUGCCAUUUGUCUUAUUGAUGAUUUUGGUUGACUGGUAUAAAAUGAAAGUAGUUUUAAUUUGCAUUUCCCUGAUGGCUAAUGAUGUUAGCCAUCAAGAUUUCUUUAAAUGCUUCUCAGCCAUUUGUGUUUCAUCUCUUGAGAAUUCUCUGCUUAGUUCUAUUCCAUUUUGAACUGGGUUAUUUUCUUGAUGUUCAGUGGUUUUAGUUUUUUAUGUAUUUUAGAUACUAAGCCACUGUUCAAUACAUAAUUGGUAAAGAUCUUUUCCCAUUCUGUAGCCUGAUACUUUGUCUGAAUGAUGGCAUCCUUUGCCAUACAGAAGAUUUUCAACUUCAUGAGGUCCCAAUUAGUAAUGGUGGGUCCUAGUGCUUGUGCUACCGGUGUUCUGCUCAGGGAGCAUUUUCAUGUGCCAAUGAGUUCAAGACUAUUCCCCACUUUCACAUCUAUCAGAUUUGGUGUAUCUGGCCUUAUGUUGAGCUCUUCAGUCCAUUUGGAAUUAAGUUUUGUGCAGGAUCAUAUGUAUGGAUCUAUUUGAAUUCUUCUCCACAUAGCUGUCCAGUUUGACCAGCCGCAUUUGUUGGAGAUGCUUUUUGUUUUACUGCUCUGGAGGGAAAGGUAUUCUGACUGUUCGGGAAGUCAAGCUAUUCCUGGAGCUGCAAUAGGACAGACAGCUCAGCUCUGGAGGGAAAGGUAUCUUGAAUGCAAAGUCAGGCUAUACCUGAAGCUGGGAUGCAGUAGGGGAUGGUCUCCCUGCAGUAUAUAGCAAUCCUGCUCCUCUCCUGGAGAAAGCCAUCACAGUUGAGCUUUGUUCUGCCUACCCCCCGCCCCCCAUUUAGGGGAACUUCCCAGAAGAGCACUGCUUCUUCUCCUCUCUGGCCCAAAAUGUUGCUUCUUCAGCUUCACUCUGCUAAAUGGGAAACCCCUGCAGAAAUGUAGCAGUCUCCUCAGGCUCUGGUGAAAAGCUGUUACAUUUUUCUGCUCCACCUUACUCAGUCCCCUAAGGGAUGUCUCAGCAAGGUUCUUUUGUUCUGCACCUGCAAAUGAAGAUCUUAAUCUAACACUCUUUUAAGAAAGAGAUUUAUCACUCUGGAAGUUGCAAACAGCCCAGCACCAAAGUUCACACCGAAACCCUGCCGGUGGCCCUUUCUGAUUUCAUCUCUGUAACGCCACUGCUCAGAGGCACACAGGUUUUCCAGUUUGGUAGAGUACAGAAUUUUUAAGUUUUUAUCUAGAUGACCUGUAUAUUGAAGAAAGUGUAUUGAAGUCACCCACUAUUGCUGUAUGAGGGUCACUAUGUAAUUCUAGCUGGGAUUAAAGGUAUGUAACACCACCA